AUUGAACGCUGGCGGCAUGCCUUACACAUGCAAGUCGAACGGCAGCAUGGGUGCUUGCACCUGAUGGCGAGUGGCGAACGGGUGAGUAAUGCAUCGGAACGUACCCGGAAGUGGGGGAUAACGUAGCGAAAGUUACGCUAAUACCGCAUAUUCUGUGAGCAGGAAAGCGGGGGAUCGCAAGACCUCGCGCUUCCGGAGCGGCCGAUGUCGGAUUAGCUAGUUGGCGGGGUAAAGGCCCACCAAGGCAACGAUCCGUAGCGGGUCUGAGAGGAUGAUCCGCCACACUGGGACUGAGACACGGCCCAGACUCCUACGGGAGGCAGCAGUGGGGAAUUUUGGACAAUGGGCGCAAGCCUGAUCCAGCCAUGCCGCGUGAGUGAAGAAGGCCUUCGGUUGUAAGCUCUUCGGCUGGGAGAAAUACGCAUCUCCUAAUACGGGUGUGGAUGACGGUACCAGCAUAAGAAGCACCGGCGUAACUACGUGCCG
rnacentral:rRNA from 1 species